GGCGGACGGGUGAGUAACGCGUGGGUAACCUGCCUCAUACAGGGGGAUAACGGUUAGAAAUGACUGCUAAUACCGCAUAAGCGCACAGUACCGCAUGGUACGGUGUGAAAAACUCCGGUGGUAUGAGAUGGACCCGCGUCUGAUUAGUUAGUUGGUGGGGUAACGGCCCACCAAGGCGACGAUCAGUAGCCGACCUGAGAGGGUGACCGGCCACAUUGGGACUGAGACACGGCCCAG
rnacentral:rRNA from 1 species